rnacentral:rRNA from 1 species
GUGGGGAAUAUUGGGCAAUGGGCGGAAGCCUGACCCAGCCACGCCGCGUGAGUGAUGAAGGCCUUCGGGUUGUAAAGCUCUGUGGGAAGGGACGAAAAACCGCUACCUAAUACGUAUCGGGUUGACGGUACCUUCUUAGCAAGCACCGGCUAACUCUGUGCCAGCAGCCGCGGUAAGACAGAGGGUGCAAACGUUGCUCGGAUUUACUGGGCGUAAAGCGCAUGUAGGCGGGCGGAUAAGUCGGGUGUGAAAUCCCUGGGCUCAACCUAGGAACUGCAUCCGAAACUGUCCACCUUGAGUAGUGGAGAGGAAAGCGGAAUUCCGGGUGUAGAGGUGAAAUUCGUAGAUAUCCGGAGGAACACCAGUGGCGAAGGCGGCUUUCUGGACACUAACUGACGCUGAGAUGCGAAAGCGUGGGGAGCAAACAGGAUUAGAUACCCCGGUAGUCC